AAACUAUCCUGUAUAUUUUUUGUUUUGAAUUCCAGUUUGAGGUCCGCUCUCUAUAAAAAGAGCUUUAGGUUCCAUUUGUAAGGCAUCAGAAAAUUGAGUAGAAGAGUCUUCUCUCAAGAAGUAAGAAAGCCAUAGUAAGCAGUGUGCUUUUCCUACCUAUUCAGUGUGCAGUAGUGUGCUUUCAUUACAAGUUAUUGAUAGACGGACUGAUUCAUGAAACUUGGGGUUCUUUUACUAAUCUCCUACCGGUGGAAGCAAUUGAUGCAAUUAAGGUGUACUUACAUGGGCAUUUGCCUAAGUAUAAUUAACUACAAUGAGCCCCGCUCAUACUGCCGCCAGCGGCACCAACAACUAUCGAGGGUGUGACAUAUGGAAACAUAACCAAACAAGCUAUCACCUGAGCUCUGGCUCAUCCCGAGAUCACCGCUGAAGUGCCGAGCCAAGAUCACCACGCUGAAGCAUCAGAAACUGGGGACUAAAACAUAUCAGUCCCACAUCGAAAACAAGGAAGAGAUCAGUCUCUUCCCCACCUAUAAAAGAUAGCAGAAGCAAUAAGGAUAUCACAAGUAGCGGUUCGUCCCCCGAACCAGCGUUGACCAAUGAUCGUCCCUUGAAAUAAUUCAUUCCCCUAAAAAAAGACUUACAUUACUAUCAAUUAAGUCACCAUGUAUUUGUAUCACUAAGUCUCGAAGAAUGACAAAUUUUUU